CUUCAGAGGAAACUGGAUGUCAGAUGCAGAACGGAUGAACCUGAAGACCGUCAGCUUCUCUGAUAGAUCAGCAUGGCUGCCGUGGAUGUAGACACAUACCCUCCUGAGGAGAUGAGGACUCUGACUUUAGGCGGCCAUGUUGGUUUCGACAGCCUCCCGGAUCAGCUGGUUAGCAAAUCAGUGUCUCAAGGCUUCUGCUUCAACAUCCUCUGUGUGGGCGAAACCGGCAUCGGAAAAUCAACACUAAUGAACACUCUAUUUAACACGAUCUUUGAGAACGAGGAAGCCAGUCACUAUCAAAGCGGGGUGCAUUUACGACCCAGUACAUAUGAGCUGCAGGAGAGCAAUGUGGAGCUCAAGCUGACGAUAGUUUACACUGUGGGGUUCGGUGACCAGGUCAAUAAAGAAGAAAGCUAUAAACCCAUUACAGACUACAUUGAUGCCCAAUUUGAAAAUUUCCUCCAAGAGGAGCUGAAGAUCAAACGUUCGCUCUUUAACUACCACGACACGCGGAUCCACGUCUGCCUGUACUUCAUCUCCCCUACAGGCCACUCGCUCAGAUCCCUCGAUCUGGUCACCAUGAAGAUGCUGGACAGUAAGGUAAACAUCAUUCCCGUUAUUGCUAAAGCGGAUACGAUCUGCAAAUCCGAACUUCAUAAAUUCAAGAUUAAGAUCAUGAGCGAGCUCGUCAGCAACGGCGUCCAGAUUUACCAGUUCCCCACAGAUGACGAAGCCAUUGCAGAAAUCAACUCCUCCAUGAACGCUCAUUUGCCAUUUGCUGUGGUGGGAAGUGGAGAGGACGUUAAGGUGGGAAACAAGCUGGUGAGAGCCAGGCAGUACCCAUGGGGAGUGGUACAGGUGGAGAAUGAGAACCAUUGUGAUUUUGUAAAGCUGAGGGAGAUGCUGAUCCGGGUGAACAUGGAGGACCUGCGGGAGCAGACACACGCACGCCACUAUGAACUGUACCGCCGCUGCAAACUGGAGGAGAUGGGCUUCAAAGACCCCGAUACUGACGCGCAGCCAUUCAGUCUGCAAGAAACCUAUGUGGCUAAGAGGAGAGAGUUUGUCGCAGAUCUGCAGCGCAUGGAGGAGGACAUGCGGCAAAUGUUCGUGAUCAAAGUAAAGGAGACGGAGGCUGAGCUGAAGGAGCGAGAGCGUGAGCUGCAUGAGCGUUUCGAGUGUGUCAAGCAUAUGCACCAGGAGGAAAAGAAGACUUUGGAGGAGAAGCGCAGAGAGCUCGAGGAGGAGAUGAACUCCUUUAACAGGAGAAAGAUGGCAGCGGAAACACUGCAGGCUCUCUCACUCCAGACCUCCAAAGACAGGAAAAGUUGAGCUGUUCUCAUUGAAAAAAAUUCAUUGAAGGAAUCAACAUUCUCACGUUUUUAUCAGGACAACAUCAACGCCUCUUCACCUUCUGCUCUCUGCCUGUAGAAAGCUCAUCAGUCCAUCUGAUACACAUCAUUAAUAAAUAUGGUGCUGAAAUUAAAUCAUCAAUGUUGUAACUGUAAAUUGUCCAUUAUUUAUCUUGAGCUCUGCUAUUAACUGGUAAUGUGAGUUUUAUUUCCUGUAUCUGUCUGUACUGUUGGUGAUUAUUGUCAGGCUUUACACCAGUGUUAGAGCUGUUAUACAUCAGAAUAUGCUACAAGGUUCAGAAGUCUGUCCUGACAUGUUACUGAUCUUGUAUUCACUAAAUAUUCUUUUACUAUUUUAUAAAUAAGUUUACACGGCAAUAGAUAAAAAAAAUAUACAUUGUGCUGACUUUUAAAAACU